rnacentral:rRNA from 1 species
UACCGGGCAUAGCCCGGAUAUAAAUAAAUAAUAAAAGGUUAACAAUAAACUUCUAAUUAUGUAUAAUAAUGAUAUAUAUAAGAAAGAGUCCUGACCAAAACGUGUGCCAGCAGCUGCGGUUAGACAUGGUGGGCAAGCAUUAAUCAGAAAGGCUUAAAGAAUCAGUAGUACGGUUAAAAUAUUUUAACUAGAAUAAAUAAAAUAGGUUAUAUGAAAUAAUAUUUAAGGGAUGAAAUACUAUGAAAAUAUUAUAACAGCAAAGAAAUAACUGAAUAUUUAUUGACGUUGUGAGAUGAAGGCUACGUUUGCGACAUGGAUUCGAUACCCAUUUAGUCGUAGCAGUGAACUAUGAAUACUAUAAUAACUUAUUUAUAAGUUAAGAAUAAUUAAAAUGUAAAGUAUUCCGCCUGAAUAGUACGCUCGCAAGGGUGAAAUACAAGACAUUAGACGGUUGUAGUCUUAAGCAGUGGAACAUGUUGUUUAAUUGGAUGAUCCUCCUAAAACCUUACCAUCUCUUGAAUUAUUAACAGGCGUUACAUCGUUGUCGUCAGUUCAUGCCAUGAGGUAUUAUAUUAAGUUAUAUAAUGAACACAAUCCUUAAUAAUAUAUUUAUAUAUUAUAAAGUAUUUUUUACAAAUAAUAGGAAGUCAAGGGCGAAGACUAAUCAUGAUGACCCUAAUGAGAUGGGCUAUAGACGUGUUACGAUGUUAUUGACAAUUAUAUAAAUUUAUAUUUAAAUAUUUAUUAUUAUUAAACAAUAAGAUUAUGAUUUUUAUCUUUCAUGGAUUAUAGUUUGAAAUUCAACUAUAUGAAGGAGGAAUUGCCAGUAAUCGUAAACUAGAGAGUUACGGUGAAAUUUAAUACUACUUCGUACUAACCACUCAUCAACAGCAAGAAAUUUUUACUUUCCUGAAAAGUUUAUUUUUAGGUUCGUUUAUAAGUGACCUGUUGUAAGUUGAAAUACGGUUCGGUUAGGGGAACCUGAUCGGGAUUUAUUA